rnacentral:rRNA from 1 species
CGUAACAAGGUCUCCGUAGGUGAACCUGCGGAGGGAUCAUUACACAAAUAUGAAGGCGGGCUGGAACCUCUCGGGGUUACAGCCUUGCUGAAUUAUUCACCCUUGUCUUUUGCGUACUUCUUGUUUCCUUGGUGGGUUCGCCCACCACUAGGACAAACAUAAACCUUUUGUAAUUGCAAUCAGCGUCAGUAACAAAUUAAUAAUUACAACUUUCAACAACGUAUCUCUUGGUUCUGGCAUCGAUGAAGAACGCAGCGAAAUGCGAUAAGUAGUGUGAAUUGCAGAAUUCAGUGAAUCAUCGAAUCUUUGAACGCACAUUGCGCCCUUUGGUAUUCCAAAGGGCAUGCCUGUUCGAGCGUCAUUUGUACCCUCAAGCUUUGCUUGGUGUUGGGCGUCUUGUCUCUAGCUUUGCUGGAGACUCGCCUUAAAGUAAUUGGCAGCCGGCCUACUGGUUUCGGAGCGCAGCACAAGUCGCACUCUCUAUCAGCAAAGGUCUAGCAUCCAUUAAGCCUUUUUUUCAACUUUUGACCUCGGAUCAGGUAGGGAUACCCGCUGAACUUAAGCAUAUCA